ACCAUGGAUUUUUUAAAAUCCAAAAUUCAGUGCCUAAAACAAGAUUU
rfam:Aptenodytes forsteri contig30325, whole genome shotgun sequence.